GAGUAACGCGUGAGCAACCUGUCCCAGACAGGGGGAUAACACUUGGAAACAGGUGCUAAUACCGCAUAAGACCACGGGGUCACAUGGCUCUGGGGUAAAAGGAGCGAAUCCGGUUUGGGUGGGCUCGCGUCCGAUUAGAUAGUUGGUGAGGUAACGGCCCACCAAGUCAACGAUCGGUAGCCGACCUGAGAGGGUGAUCGGCCACAUUGGAACUGAGAGACGGUCCAAACUCCUACGGGAGGCAGCAGUGGGGAAUAUUGGGCAAUGGGGCCGAAAGCCUGACCCAGCAACGCCGCGUGAGUGAAGAAGGCCUUCGGGUUGUAAAGCUCUGUUAUAGGGGACGAAGGAAGUGACGGUACCCUAUAAGGAAGCCCCGGCUAACUACGUGCCAGCCGCCGC
rnacentral:rRNA from 1 species